rnacentral:rRNA from 1 species
GAUGAACGCUGGCGGCGUGCCUAAUACAUGCAAGUCGAGCGAACGGACGAGAAGCUUGCUUCUCUGAUGUUAGCGGCGGACGGGUGAGUAACACGUGGAUAACCUACCUAUAAGACUGGGAUAACUUCGGGAAACCGGAGCUAAUACCGGAUAAUAUUUUGAACCGCAUGGUUCAAAAGUGAAAGACGGUCUUGCUGUCACUUAUAGAUGGAUCCGCGCUGCAUUAGCUAGUUGGUAAGGUAACGGCUUACCAAGGCAACGAUGCAUAGCCGACCUGAGAGGGUGAUCGGCCACACUGGAACUGAGACACGGUCCAGACUCCUACGGGAGGCAGCAGUAGGGAAUCUUCCGCAAUGGGCGAGAGCCUGACGGAGCAACGCCGCGUGAGUGAUGAAGGUCUUCGGAUCGUAAAACUCUGUUAUUAGGGAAGAACAUAUGUGUAAGGAACUGUGCACAUCUUGACGGUACCUAAUCAGAAAGCCACGGCUAACUACGUG